CCCUUCGAUGUUCGGAGCUGCACGCGCGCUACACUGAACAGUUCAACAAGUCUUAACCUUGGCCGAUAGGUCUGGGUAAUCUUUGAACGCUGUUCGUGAUUGGGAUAGACCUUUGCAAUUAUGGGUCUUCAACGAGGAAUUCCUAGUAAACGCAAGUCAUCAGCUUGCAUUGAUUACGUCCCUGCCCUUUGUACACACCGCCCGUCGCACCUACCGAUUGAAUGGUCCGGUGAAAUCUCGGGACGGCGGCUUGGUCGCUUGCGUCCGACUGCUGAAACUUGAUUAAACCAUAUCAUUUAGAGGAAGGUGAAGUCGUAACA
rnacentral:rRNA from 1 species